AAGUGACCUAAUCCUAUUAAAGAAUCAAAGCAUUUCAAACCCUUAAAGUUCAAAAAUAUCAAGAACCCUGAGGCAGGUAUGCGUAGUGUUCAUCUAUGGAUCCCUUUCAUUCAUAGAGGUCAAUAACCAUGAUUUUAAAUGAGAAACUUUGAUUCAAUUGUUGUUAUGUGAUGUUUUAAAUGUUAAUAAUCACUGUCUAAGCUUCAAGAUAUUAAUUUAAG
rnacentral:lncRNA from 1 species